rnacentral:rRNA from 1 species
AGCUAAAACAUGCAAGUCGAGCGGUAACACAGGGAGCUUGCUUCUGGGUGACGAGCGGCGGACGGGUGAGUAAUGUCUGGGAAACUGCCUGAUGGAGGGGGAUAACUACUGGAAACGGUAGCUAAUACCGCAUAACGUCGCAAGACCAAAGAGGGGGACCUUCGGGCCUCUUGCCAUCAGAUGUGCCCAGAUGGGAUUAGCUAGUAGGUGGGGUAACGGCUCACCUAGGCGACGAUCCCUAGCUGGUCUGAGAGGAUGACCAGCCACACUGGAACUGAGACACGGUCCAGACUCCUACGGGAGGCAGCAGUGGGGAAUAUUGCACAAUGGGCGCAAGCCUGAUGCAGCCAUGCCGCGUGUAUGAAGAAGGCCUUCGGGUUGUAAAGUACUUUCAGCGGGGAGGAAGGCGCUGAGGUUAAUAACCUCAGCGAUUGACGUUACCCGCAGAAAAAGCACCGGCUAACUCCGUGCCACCAGCCGCGGUAAUACGGAGGGUGCAAGCGUUAAUCGGAAUUACUGGGCGUAAAGCGCACGCAGGCGGUCUGUCAAGUCGGAUGUGAAAUCCCCGGGGCUCAACCUGGGAACUGCCCAUUCGAAACUGGCAGGCUAGAGUCUUGUGAGGGGGGUAGAAUUCCAGGUGUAGGGUGAAAUGCGUAGAGAUCUGAGGAAUACCGGUGGCGAAGGCGGCCCCCUGGAAAAGACUGACGCUCACGUGCGAAGAGCGUGGGGGCAAACAGGAUUAGAUACCCUGGUAGUCCACGCCGUAAACGAUGUCGACUUGGAGGUUGUGCCCUUGAGGCGUGGCUUCCGGAGCUAACGCGUUAAGUCGACCCGCCCUGGGGAGUACGGCCGCAAGGUUAAAACUCAAAUGAAUUGACGNGGGCCCGCACAAGCGGUGGAGCAUGUGGUUUAAUUCGAUGCAACGCGAAGAACCUUACCUACUCUUUCCAGAGAACUUUCCAGAC